rnacentral:rRNA from 1 species
GGUGCUUGCAUCAUGAUUUACAUUUGAGUGAGUGGCGAACUGGUGAGUAACACGUGGGAAACCUGCCCAGAAGCGGGGGAUAACACCUGGAAACAGAUGCUAAUACCGCAUAACAACUUGGACCGCAUGGUCCGAGCUUGAAAGAUGGCUUCGGCUAUCACUUUUGGAUGGUCCCGCGGCGUAUUAGCUAGAUGGUGGGGUAACGGCUCACCAUGGCAAUGAUACGUAGCCGACCUGAGAGGGUAAUCGGCCACAUUGGGACUGAGACACGGCCCAAACUCCUACGGGAGGCAGCAGUAGGGAAUCUUCCACAAUGGACGAAAGUCUGAUGGAGCAACGCCGCGUGAGUGAAGAAGGGUUUCGGCUCGUAAAACUCUGUUGUUAAAGAAGAACAUAUCUGAGAGUAACUGUUCAGGUAUUGACGGUAUUUAACCAGAAAGCCACGGCUAACUACGUGCCAGCAGCCGCGGUAAUACGUAGGUGGCAAGCGUUGUCCGGAUUUAUUGGGCGUAAAGCGAGCGCAGGCGGUUUUUUAAGUCUGAUGUGAAAGCCUUCGGCUCAACCGAAGAAGUGCAUCGGAAACUGGGAAACUUGAGUGCAGAAGAGGACAGUGGAACUCCAUGUGUAGCGGUGAAAUGCGUAGAUAUAUGGAAGAACACCAGUGGCGAAGGCGGCUGUCUGGUCUGUAACUGACGCUGAGGCUCGAAAGUAUGGGUAGCAAACAGGAUUAGAUACCCUGGUAGUCCAUACCGUAAACGAUGAAUGCUAAGUGUUGGAGGGUUUCCGCCCUUCAGUGCUGCAGCUAACGCAUUAAGCAUUCCGCCUGGGGAGUACGGCCGCAAGGCUGAAACUCAAAGGAAUUGACGGGGGCCCGCACAAGCGGUGGAGCAUGUGGUUUAAUUCGAAGCUACGCGAAGAACCUUACCAGGUCUUGACAUACUAUGCAAAUCUAAGAGAUUAGACGUUCCCUUCGGGGACAUGGAUACAGGUGGUGCAUGGUUGUCGUCAGCUCGUGUCGUGAGAUGUUGGGUUAAGUCCCGCAACGAGCGCAACCCUUAUUAUCAGUUGCCAGCAUUAAGUUGGGCACUCUGGUGAGACUGCCGGUGACAAACCGGAGGAAGGUGGGGAUGACGUCAAAUCAUCAUGCCCCUUAUGACCUGGGCUACACACGUGCUACAAUGGAUGGUACAACGAGUUGCGAACUCGCGAGAGUAAGCUAAUCUCUUAAAGCCAUUCUCAGUUCGGAUUGUAGGCUGCAACUCGCCUACAUGAAGUCGGAAUCGCUAGUAAUCGCGGAUCAGCAUGCCGCGGUGAAUACGUUCCCGGGCCUUGUACACCCCGCCC